rnacentral:rRNA from 1 species
CAGGAUGAACGCUGGCGGCGUGCCUAAUACAUGCAAGUCGAGCGAACUGAUUAGAAGCUUGCUUCUAUGACGUUAGCGGCGGACGGGUGAGUAACACGUGGGCAACCUGCCUGUAAGACUGGGAUAACUUCGGGAAACCGAAGCUAAUACCGGAUAGGAUCUUCUCCUUCAUGGGAGAUGAUUGAAAGAUGGUUUCGGCUAUCACUUACAGAUGGGCCCGCGGUGCAUUAGCUAGUUGGUGAGGUAACGGCUCACCAAGGCAACGAUGCAUAGCCGACCUGAGAGGGUGAUCGGCCACACUGGGACUGAGACACGGCCCAGACUCCUACGGGAGGCAGCAGUAGGGAAUCUUCCGCAAUGGACGAAAGUCUGACGGAGCAACGCCGCGUGAGUGAUGAAGGCUUUCGGGUCGUAAAACUCUGUUGUUAGGGAAGAACAAGUACAAGAGUAACUGCUUGUACCUUGACGGUACCUAACCAGAAAGCCACGGCUAACUACGUGCCAGCAGCCGCGGUAAUACGUAGGUGGCAAGCGUUAUCCGGAAUUAUUGGGCGUAAAGCGCGCGCAGGCGGUUUCUUAAGUCUGAUGUGAAAGCCCACGGCUCAACCGUGGAGGGUCAUUGGAAACU